GGCUUAGAGUUUGAUCAUGGCUCAGGAUGAACGCUGGCGGCGUGCCCAACACAUGCAAGUCGAGCGAAGCACUUUACUUUGAGAUCUUCGGAAGGAUAAGUUUAGUGACUGAGCGGCGGACGGGUGAGUAACGCGUGGGUAACCUGCCUCAUACAGGGGGAUAACAGUUAGAAAUGACUGCUAAUACCGCAUAAGACCACAGCACCGCAUGGUGCAGGGGUAAAAACUCCGGUGGUAUGAGAUGGACCCGCGUCUGAUUAGCUAGUUGGUAAGGUAACGGCUUACCAAGGCAACGAUCAGUAGCCGACCUGAGAGGGUGACCGGCCACAUUGGGACUGAGACACGGCCCAAACUCCUACGGGAGGCAGCAGUGGGGAAUAUUGCACAAUGGGGGAAACCCUGAUGCAGCGACGCCGCGUGAGCGAAGAAGUAUUUCGGUAUGUAAAGCUCUAUCAGCAGGGAAGAAACUGACGGUACCUGACUAAGGAGCACCGGCUAAAUACGUGCCAGCAGCCGCGGUAAUACGUAUGGUGCAAGCGUUAUCCGGAUUUACUGGGUGUAAAGGGAGCGUAGACGGAUAGGCAAGUCUGGAGUGAAAGCCCGGGGCUCAACCCCGGGACUGCUUUGGAAACUGUUUAUCUAGAGUGCUGGAGAGGUAAGUG
rnacentral:rRNA from 1 species